CUCUAGAGAUAGAGUUUUCCCCUUCGGGGGACAGAGUGACAGGUGGUGCAUGGUUGUCGUCAGCUCGUGUCGUGAGAUGUUGGGUUAAGUCCCGCAACGAGCGCAACCCUUAAGCUUAGUUGCCAUCAUUAAGUUGGGCACUCUAAGUUGACUGCCGGUGACAAACCGGAGGAAGGUGGGGAUGACGUCAAAUCAUCAUGCCCCUUAUGAUUUGGGCUACACACGUGCUACAAUGGACAAUACAAAGGGCAGCGAAACCGCGAGGUCAAGCAAAUCCCAUAAAGUUGUUCUCAGUUCGGAUUGUAGUCUGCAACUCGACUAUAUGAAGCUGGAAUCGCUAGUAAUCGUAGAUCAGCAUGCUACGGUGAAUACGUUCCCGGGUCUUGUACACACCGCCCGUCACACCACGAGAGUUUGUAACACCCGAAGCCGGUGGAGUAACCAUUUGGAGCUAGCCGUCGAAGGUGGGACAAAUGAUUGGGGUGAAGUCGUAACAAGGUAGCCGUAUCGGAAGGUGCGGCUGGAUCACCUCCUUU
rnacentral:rRNA from 1 species